rnacentral:rRNA from 1 species
AUGUCUAGGCGCGGCAAGGGAGGCAAGGGGCUCGGCAAGGGCGGCGCCAGGAGGCAGAGGAAGGUCCUGUGCGACAACAUCGAGGGCAUCCGCAAGCCCGCGAUCUGGCGCCUGGCGAGGCAGGGUGGCGUGAAGCGCAUCUAGGAUCUCAUGUACGAGGAGACCCGUGGCGUCCUCAAGAUCUUCCUCGAGAGCGUCAUCCACGACACCGUCACCUACACUGAGCACGCCCAACGCAAGACUGUCACCGCCAUGGACGUUGUCUACGCCCUCAAGCGCCAGGGCCGCACCCCCUAUGGUUUCAACGGCUAG